GAUGAACGCUGGCGGCGUGCCUAAUACAUGCAAGUCGAGCGAACGGACGAGAAGCUUGCUUUUCUGAUGUUAGCGGCGGACGGGUGAGUAACACGUGGAUAACCUACCUAUAAGACUGGGAUAACUUCGGGAAACCGGAUCUAAUACCGGAUAAUAUGUUGAACCGCAUGGUUCAAAAGUGAAAGACGGUCUUGCUGUCACUUAUAGAUGGAUCCGAGCUGCAUUAGCUAGUUGGUAAGGUAACGGCUUACCAAGGCAACGAUGCAUAGCCGACCUGAGAGGGUGAUCGGCCACACUGGAACUGAGACACGGUCCAGACUCCUACGGGAGGCAGCAGUAGGGAAUCUUCCGCAAUGGGCGAAAGCCUGACGGAGCAACGCCGCGUGAGUGAUGAAGGUCUUCGGAUCGUAAAACUCUGUUAUUAGGGAAGAACAUAUGUGUAAGUAACUGUGCACAUCUUGACGGUACCUAAUCAGAAAGCCACGGCUAACUACGUG
rnacentral:rRNA from 1 species